rnacentral:rRNA from 1 species
UGCGUAGGCGGGCUUGUAAGUCAGUGUUGAAAUUCUGCCGCUUAACGGUAGAACUGCCAUUGAUACUGCAAGUCUUGAAUAUGGUUGAGGUAGGCGGAAUGUGUUGUGUAGCGGUGAAAUGCAUAGAUAUGACACAGAACGCCAAUUGCGAAGGCAGCUUACUAAGACAUUAUUGACGCUGAGGCACGAAAGCGUGGGGAGCGAACAGGAUUAGAUACCCUGGUAGUCC